rnacentral:rRNA from 1 species
GUCAGCGGCGGACGGGUGAGUAACACGUGGGUAACCUGCCUGUAAGACUGGGAUAACUCCGGGAAACCGGGGCUAAUACCGGAUGCUUGAUUGAACCGCAUGGUUCAAUCAUAAAAGGUGGCUUUCAGCUACCACUUACAGAUGGACCCGCGGCGCAUUAGCUAGUUGGUGAGGUAACGGCUCACCAAGGCGACGAUGCGUAGCCGACCUGAGAGGGUGAUCGGCCACACUGGGACUGAGACACGGCCCAGACUCCUACGGGAGGCAGCAGUAGGGAAUCUUCCGCAAUGGACGAAAGUCUGACGGAGCAACGCCGCGUGAGUGAUGAAGGUUUUCGGAUCGUAAAACUCUGUUGUUAGGGAAGAACAAGUACCGUUCGAAUAGGGCGGCACCUUGACGGUACCUAACCAGAAAGCCACGGCUAACUACGUGCCAGCAGCCGCGGUAAUACGUAGGUGGCAAGCGUUGUCCGGAAUUAUUGGGCGUAAAGCGCGCGCAGGCGGUUUCUUAAGUCUGAUGUGAAAGCCCCCGGCUCAACCGGGGAGGGUCAUUGGAAACUGGGGAACUUGAGUGCAGAAGAGGAGAGUGGAAUUCCACGUGUAGCGGUGAAAUGCGUAGAGAUGUGGAGGAACACCAGUGGCGAAGGCGACUCUC